UUUGUGUGGGACAGUGUGGCCCGGCUGCCGUGGGCACAGGCAGCUGAGGUGAGGCAAGUGGGAAGAUGAAGCAGGACACUGAGGCUGCAGUGAGGGGGCUCUCAGCAGGUCCCCUCUGCUCCUGGAGAGGAAGGAGGACUUGGGCUUCCCAGUGGUGUGUGCAAAUCUUACAUCCCUGCUGGCUGCUCCAGCAAGUCCGUGCUGUGCCAUCCCUGUCCCAGCUAUGCCACAGCCAUUGCAGCUGUCCCACUGCAUCACUGCCUGCAGUGACAGCCAUGCAGUCCCUGCCCAUGCCAUGCUCAGGAGCUGAGCUGGCACUGCCACUGCGCUCCCAGCAGCGAUGAUUCCCCAGUACCUCCUCUCAGUCCCACCAGUGCCCCGAGCCCUGGCUUUGCCAAUGAUUAACAGCGGUGGUAUUGCACAAGGGCCAGCGUGAUUGGUGCCAGCGGGUGAGGUGGGGGAGUAUGGUGGGCAGAGCGUGCCCAAGGCCAUCCCCAGGCAGCUGGGGGCCCGUGGAGCUGGGGAUCAUCCCAGCAGGGCUUUGGAGACACAGACGAGCUUGGGGACCCCAGUGAUGCUGCUGGGGACCCGUGACUGGGGAUGCUGGCCCGGGCUCUGUCCCAGGUGAGGCUGCCGGGUCUGGCCGAGGGCUCUCACCUGCCCCGGAACUCCUGGUUGUAGAUGGUCCGCAGCGCUUCCCGCAGGCUUGUCUGCUCCCGGCCCGUGUCCUGCAGGAACUGCACGAACUGAUGCCCCCAAAGACUGGCCUCCGCUACGCUGAACCGCGGCAUGGUUGAGCCGAGCCGAGCCGAGCCGAGCCGAGCCGUGCCGAGCCGAGAUGGUGCCGCGUCCAGGAGUGCCAGCCCUGCUUUGGCCCGUGUGGGAUACAGCCAGGAGUGUCUGAAGCAGGUGUUAAAGACACCGAGGGUGAGUGCAAUGAACUCCUGGCUGCCUUUUUUCCAGGGUGGGGAGCUGCAUUAAAGCUCUGUGAUUGUUUCAGUUUGGAACCUCAGCCCUCCAGUUCCCCUGUGUACCAGGGUUGGAGCAUCACCCAUGGGUCUGGCUGAUACCAUCCCUGCCUUAAUCACAGAACUGUUGAUGUUGGAAAAGACCUUUGAGAUCAUUAAAGUCCAACCAUCGACCCAGCCCCACCACUGUGAUCAGCACUAAACCAGGUCAAGUGCCACAUUCACAUUUUGAACACUUUCAGGGAUGGUGAUGCCAACACUUCCUAGACUUCAGGAAUUAACAGGAGUGAGACCACGAAAGAACAGACACAAAUGGCUUUAAACAAAGACUGGUGUAUUUGCACUAGACUGGUUGAUACAGAGGAUGCCUGAGGGAUGAAUUGUCAGUCUCAGCAGCAAAUACAAAUAUAUUUUAAUUAGAUAAACCCCACAAAGGAUAAACACUUAUUUUGCGGCAUUAUGUGCAAAACCUGAAGUGUAAUGCACAGGCAACCCCACCCCUUCUCUUCCCAACCCUUUUUCCUUUGUGUAUUUAAAAACAAGAAGACAUGAGCCAGUUUAAGAACCAGAACCUGCAAGGCGCCCAGUGAUAACCAAGUGCAAACAAAGCAAAGGGAGUUCACCGAAGGAGGUUCACUUUGUAGUGAAUCUCUGUUCCAAGAUCUGAAAGGCGUAUGUCUAUCUCUUCAUCCUCCCCUUCACAGAAACUGUUAUGACUGCUAGUUUUGAUGUCAGAGGGGGAAAACAGUAAUGCAGAGCAAGCAUGUAGAAGAGAUUAAUUCCAAAGUCCCUUCUAAGCAUGACAAGAAACUGUCCACAACUGAGACAAAUGGAAAGGAUUUUUUCUUUCACUUUGGUGCAAGUUUAUUUAUUUUGUACACUAUCCAUCCAUACACCUGUGAUACAAAUCUAUGAACCUGCCACAAAGCAUUAAAGCACAACAUACCUAUUA